GGAGGUGGAGCUCAGUGGUAGAGUGCUUGCCUAGCAAGCAGGAGGCUCUGGAUUCCAUCUCCG
rnacentral:tRNA from 1 species